AUUCAUUUAACCAGAAGCCAGUCCUGAUUUAAAGCUAAGACUGGCUUGUGGUUAAAUGAGUAUGUUCAGUUUUUGGAUUUUAAUAGUAAUUCCAAUUUAGUAAAUUCUAUCACUGUUUACCCCUUCUAAAGAUAUGAUUAGACUUCAUUAGUAAUGUUAAAUUUUUCGCAAAGAUGGUGAGUGCCAUCUUAAAACUUACUGGAGAUUGGUUUUAUAUUUAGAUUUAUAUAACUGGUUAUGUGAAUAUAUUUAAAUAUGGGGGAAAUUCCUUCACUGUCUCAGAACCAAGGAAGAUUCACCUGUGUUUUGUGUUCAUUUGCCUCUUAAAGGCAAGGGUUGAAGAUAAAUGGGUAGCAAUGGCUAUUUUAUAUUUUUGGCCUUAACUAUGCCCAUCUAAUUAGAAUUUCCUGUAUUUAAAAUGGUUCCUUUUACUUAUUGAAAGGCAUUUUGUGUGGUUUAUGUGUAAUAUCAAAAAUUAUUUAACACUUCACACAUUUUAUAGAUGAUCUAUAAGGUCACAUGCUUUUAAAAUAGUAGCCAAUUAAACUUCACUCUUGGAUUCUUUACAAUCUAAGUCAAACUAAGUUAUAAUUUAGGAUUGUCUUUAAACAGCCAUUCAGAAACAAAACUGUACAACUGCUAUGUAUUUGUGAUUGGGAAUGGUGCUUUUGCCAACUUAAAAUGAUUAAAGUAGAGGAGAUGUACACAAAUUUAAAAAUGAUGUGUGAUCAUAAGACUUAAGAUAAUUAAAAAGAAAACCACAGAUCAU